CUUAAAUGCGUACGGUGUUUAUGACGCAUUGCAAAAUUUGACAGAUCAAGGAUUCAGCAGUAACAGCGGUUCAAUCAGUCCAGUUAGUUCACACUCAUCAGCCUCAAGGAUUAGAUUCACCUCGGAUACUUGUUUACCAAACACAGUCUUCAGGAAUAUAUCACGGUUCUAAA